GGCCUGGGGCUCCGUCUGCCCUUCCUGGACUCCCCUCAGGAGAGAAGGCAGGGCCCUAAGGGCCUACUGUGUGCUGGACCCAGGCCAGAGCCUGGCCAGCUGCCACACACUCAGAGAGCUGGCCACACCCGUAUCUGGUAAGCGGGGAAUCUCCCUAUUUCUCAGAUAAGCAAACCGAGGGUAGUGAAAGUAGGAGGGUCACCCCAAUGCUGUUGACAACAUGGUCUGGCUAUUUCCAGAAUGUACCAGAACCCAGGUGUCCAGCCUGGCAUGGAGCCAAGGCCUAGGCCCUCUUGAAGAGACUCUCUGAAUCCUUCUGUCGUUUUUUAGAUCCAUGUUCCUGAAGGGCAAAUCCAGGUUCAGGGUGGCCAGUGGGCAGAUGAGUGACACAGCCUGGCUCCGUGGCUGUCCUGGCCCAGACUGCCUGGCCGUGGGAGCACCCAGGGGUCCACACGGGGUGCUGCUCUGCUGGCGCCAGUUCCUCCGGCCGUGGGGCCUGGGGCUGGCCCAAGUGGAAACCCGAUCGACCACAGCCACCACGCAGCCGCAUAACCAGGCUGUCCUCGGCCAGAAAUCUCUGCCACCAGCUGGGCUCGCCAGGAACCUGAGCUGGCCGAGGGGGACAGGGCAUGUCCCAGUUGCCUGGGCGUCCUGAUGUCCCCAGUCCCUGGCCCCAUGCCAGACGCUAGGAACACUAGGGGACUUAACCCCACCCCGGUGUGCUCUGUCCACGGGGGACAUAGAGCCAUACUGUCCUCACUCCCUCACUCCUGGUCCUUUGCCAGCCCAGAUAAGACCUCAAACUCUGUCUCAAGUUAGGGAAGAGUCAUCAAGGCCUCAGGGGCUGGGGGUUUGCUGGUCUAACAAGGCGAGGCCUCUCUCUUGGUGUGUUGGCUUUUGUUGGUGCCAUGGGCAGGGACAGAGCUUCCCCCGGAGGGGCCCUGCUUGAUACAUGUCCCAAGUAGGCAAUAACUGAGGCUGUCUGCUCAAGUCACCCACCCAGGCUGUCCAGUAGCCACAGGCACCAAGGCCAAGGGUGAUGGGGCCUAGUCUCGGGCCUCAUGUUUGUCCUGGGUUCUCCUGAACUGCUCAGACACAUAAAGCAUUGGUGAUGGGGACAUCGAGACAUGUGGCCCAGGACAGGGAAGCGCAAGGCUGGAGGGCUGGUCCCCUACAGCCCUUGGGCAAGCCCUGAGCCCCUGGGCCCCUGGCCAUGGGCUUUCCUUGCCUGCCCAGCUGCAGGGACGGCCCACAGAUAGACAGAAAUGCUCACGCUGGCACCGCCCAGAGCCGGUACAAGUGGCCACAUGCUGGUGACCUUGGGCUGGGCACACUGAGUGUCUGUGACAUGAAAGUAGUGACACAUCCCUGUUGCUGUCCCAGGGUUUUGGAGAAGAAGAGAGGACCCUGCCAAGGGUUCUGAUAGGAGACAGGGGAGGGCUUCCGGGCCCUGGAGGAAGCCAUUGGUUCCCUUCAUCCUGGGCCAACCUGGGGAGGUGGAGGAAGGAGUGUUUGGGGGCCUCCUGCUCCCUGGCUUCUCUCCAGCGCCAGGGCCCCCUGAGUCAGAGGAACUGGUGUCAUGAUCCAGAUAUGUGACCUGGAGGCCUGAUGAUGGCAUCUACCUAGGGCACCAAACUUUGGGGCUGAGUUUCUGAGGUCAGCGUCCCCUCCGGCUUCUCUGCCUACAUCCCAAAGGGGAAAAAAAAAACCUGCUAAAUGUCCACGGAGAGGGGACUCAUCACAGGCAGUGACACAUCCCCAUGGGAGACUCCAUGGUGCUGGAUACCCCUCUGCGGGGCCCAUGGUUGUGUGGGUACAGCUGGUUGCUGCAAAGCCUAGGGUAGGUGGUAGGUGGUGAGAUGUGCCACUCGCCCAGUCGGUAUAGGGCUUGUGGGCCCAUCUGCUGGAGGACUGAUGGCUGCCAGGCCCUGAGCUACAGAGAGCCACCUGGCCCAAGCUCCCACCCUUGGCAGGGUGCCAUGUCCAUCAGCUCCUGGACUCGGAGGCACAGAACCGCGGCCAGCUCUGCCCCGCACUAGACAACUCAGCCUCAGCUGGCCCCAGGGGGCUUCUUCUUCUUUUUGGGGUACCAGGGAUUGAACUCAGGGUCACUCGACCACUGAGCCACAUGAACUCGCAAUCCUCAUGCCCCAGUCUCCUGAGCCACCGCACGGGACCCCAGGGUGCUUCUGAGUACCAUCCUGUCCCCCAAUCCCCACCUCUGGUCUGCCUCCUGGGGAGUCAGCCUGCAACCAGCAAGACCUCCCCAGAGGAAGCUAUGGUGCUCCUUGGUCCACACACCUGUCCCACGUGGAGAGGGG
rnacentral:lncRNA from 1 species